GACGUAGGUGGCGAACGUUAUCCGGAAUUAUUGGGCGUAAAGGGUGCGUCGGCGGCAUGAUAAGUUAUUGGCGGGAAAUCGAGGCUCAACCUCGUGGAAACUAAUAAUACUGUUUUGCUUGAGUACAGGAGAGGUUAACGGAACUCCAUGUGGAGCGGUAAAAUGUGUAGAUAUAUGGAAGAACAUCAAUAACGGCGAAGGCAGUUAACUAUUCUGUUACUGACGUUGAGGCACGAAAGCGUGGGGAGCAAAACGG
rnacentral:rRNA from 1 species